UUGUGUGUGCGUACGUAUGUGUGUGUGCUUACGUGCGUAGGUAACAGUGUUAUUCUGUGUGUUUAGGCGUAAGCCAAAGAAAGACGGGAUACCGACAUUGUUUUCGAGCCCAGAGGAAGAAGAAAUAUCAACCAAACGGAGCCACAUCACCCCUGAACGUUAUAGAAACGAUGAGGAAGAUGUGUUUGAUGCUGACGACGAAGAGGAAAUUCGGCCAAAAAAGAAGUGCAGAAAAGAGAAAUCACAGAUCCUCAUCCAGGCACCCCCACUGCCAGUGCUCCCACCAUUGAACUUUCCAAUCUCCAGCAAGUACCAGACCACUUCAGCCAGUACCAGCCAAUACUACACCACUCCAAGGCAUCCAGGCCGACCUCACAGCCCAGCGAGAAGCAGCACUUACAGGCUCAGUCCAGACAGGAAUCAUGCAUCUAGCUCAAGCCAGUACCAAACCACUCCAGCCAGUAUGAGUCAGUACCAGACCACUCCAAGAAGCAGCAGGAAUGCCCUUGAAAGUGAACUUUUCCAGUUAAACAUGAAAGUUCAAAAACUAGUUGAGAACCAGGGAGAAAUUAUGCGCAUGCUGAGAGGGCUGGCAGCACAGUCUGUGGGGCCAGAAGCUGUGGAUGUUCAAGAUCUCAUUGAGAAGCCUUUCGAGACUCUUG